AUACGGAGGGGGCUAGCGUUGUUCGGAAUCACUGGGCGUAAAGCGCUCGUAGGCGGAUUGGUCAGUCAGAGGUGAAAUCCCAAGGCUCAACCUUGGAACUGCCUUUGAUACUGCCAGUCUUGAGGUCGAGAGAGGUAAGUGGAAUUCCUAGUGUAGAGGUGAAAUUCGUAGAUAUUAGGAAGAACACCAGUGGCGAAGGCGACUUACUGGCUCGAUUCUGACGCUGAGGAGCGAAAGCGUGGGGAGCAAACAGGAUUAGAUACCCUAGUAGUCC
rnacentral:rRNA from 1 species